rnacentral:lncRNA from 1 species
UUGAUUUUUGGUUUAUCAAGGAAUUCAAAUUUAAUAGGGGUACCAUGGGUAUUUGUUUCAAUACUUGUAUGGGAAAUAGUAAUUGGAUAUAACAGAGUGAGGAAAGGUACGCCAAGGAUUACAGCCUAGCUGAGUCCCUUUAUCAUAAUAAAUAGAGUAGGAAAACAAUGUCCUUCAUUACAAAUUUUAGCAUUAGAUAACUUGUAUUUAAUAAAUAGUCUACUCCCAUCCGCAGUGUUAAGGAUUUGAGUAGUUUUAUCGAAGUAUUUUGUAGGAACUAAUCCUUCAUUGAGGCAAUUAAGAUCAGCACCUGAAUCAACU